AGAGAAGCAAAGAUAAGGAGAGAAAGUAACAUGUUUGGUUUCCUGUUCAGGUCUUCUUGUAGUCUUGACUGGAUUCUGAGAGCUCUGUGCCUUCUCAUGUGGCAGUAUUCAAGAAAUCAGUCUCGAUGUUCAAGCCCAUACCCCAAAAAAGGUCAGUAUCUCUACAAACCUUGAUGACAAUGACAUCCAUGGGAGGAAAUAGAUGAUCACAAGAAGAUACUGAAACUCACGGAAUUGGGAACUGAUUCAUCUCUCUCCUUUCACUGACUCCUGCAGUUGUCACUCUUCUCAAUGUAUCAGAAUUUGAGUACUUGUUAUGAUGAUUUUAC